rnacentral:rRNA from 1 species
UCGUCAGCUCGUGUCGUGAGAUGUUGGGUUAAGUCCCGCAACGAGCGCAACCCUUAUUCUAUGUUGCCAGCGGGUAAUGCCGGGGACUCGUGGAAGACUGCCGGGGUCAACUCGGAGGAAGGUGGGGACGACGUCAAGUCAUCAUGCCCCUUACGUCCAGGGCUGCAAACACGCUACAAUGGCCGGUACAAAGGGCUGCGAACUCGCGAGAGUAAGCCAAUCCCACAAAGCCGGUCUCAGUUCGGAUUGGAGGCUGCAACUCGCCUCCAUGAAGCUGGAGUUGCUAGUAAUCCCGGAUCAGCACGCCGGGGUGAAUACGUUCCCGGGCCUUGUACACACCGCCCGUCACACCACGAAGUCGGCAACACCCGAAGCCGGUGCCUAACCGCAAGGAAGGAGCCGUCGAAGGU